GAUCCCUUAGCUCAGCUGGAAGAGCGCUACCUUCACACGGUAGAGGUCGCUGGUUCAAGCCCAGUAGGGAUCACCA
rnacentral:tRNA from 4 species